UACGGGGAGGUAGUGACAAUAAAUAACAAUACGGGGCCCAUCGGGUCUUGUAGUUGGAAUGAGUACAAUCUAAAUCCCUUAACGAGGAUCAAUUGGAGGGCAAGUCUGGUGCCAGCAGCCGCGGUAAUUCCAGCUCCAAUAGCGUAUAUUAAAGUUGUUGCAGUUAAAAAGCUCGUAGUUGGCAUUUCUGGUAGGAGUGACGCGUUCCGAACUUGAUUGUUNCGUGUAUUGUGGUUUUACUCCAGCCCAUCCUUGUGGGAG
rnacentral:rRNA from 1 species